rnacentral:tRNA from 1 species
UGCGGAGUAGAGCAAUUGGUUAGCUUGGUUGGCUCAUAACCUUAAGGUUACAGGUUCAAAUCUUCUAUGUGCUU